UACGGGGGGAGCAAGCGUUGUUCGGAUUUACUGGGCGUAAAGGGCGCGUAGGCGGCCUUGCAAGUCGGUUGGUGAAAGCCCGGGGCUCAACCCCGGAGGUGCGGCCGAGACUGCAGGGCUGGAGGCCGGAAGAGGAGGGUGGAAUACCCAGUGUAGAGGUGAAAUUCGUAGAUAUUGGGUGGAACACCGGUGGCGAAAGCGGCUCUCUGGUCCGGACCUGACGCUGAGGCGCGAAAGCGUGGGGAGCAAACAGG
rnacentral:rRNA from 1 species